GUGGUCCAAAUUUGCACGUCUCACGUUUACCCUUUUUUAAUUUUUUGGUUCUGUUCUUCCUUUUGUAGAAAUGUGAUACUACUAAAGGUUUUUUGUUAGAAUCAAAAUAAAUAUUCGUUGACUAAGAAAAGAGGAAAUCGAUACGUAGUUCAAGUGUGGCAACAAUUAAUAUUAUUUUUUUUUUGAGGAAAAACAAUUAAUAAUUAUAAUAAGGCU
rnacentral:lncRNA from 1 species